GGCUUGACAUUGAGCUGCUGGGUGGUGAGCCCCUCCGGAGCAGCCUGGCUUCUCUCCUGCUCCUUCCCCUGCCAAGCUGUGUGCCCUCGGGUCAGCCACACACCUCACUGAGCCUGCCUCCUUCCCUCUCCUGCUCCGCCAUCCACAUCUCCCUGGGUUGUGGCGAGGACGAGAUUGUGAACAUGUGAGCGCGGUGUCCCUGUCGGUGGCUUCCACCCUUCACGCCCAGUUCCAGACACAACAACCAUACUGUCCGCAGCAAGGACCAGACCAGAGCCCGACAGGCAGCUAAGUGCCCUGGACCGGCCAGCGCUCACGACCUCCGAGCACAAGUCAGUUGACCUGGUUUGAUUUCCGUGGACCCACCUUGGCGUGUCUUAGGAGACUGAGCUCCACAUCGGGAGGGCAGUGGCUCCUGGGGCCACCCNNNNNNNNNNNNNNNCGGAGCCCAGCUCUGUGGGCAGCAGAGUGGACUGGCCUGCACACAGCACGCACAGUGAGAGCGUAUGGAACUGAGGUGACCCCUCGUCAGCCCCAGGGUAGGGCAGCCAUCACUCCAUGGGCUAAAAGGUCAGGUCCCAGACGCCUGCCCAUCCUUGCCGCCCACCAGUCCUCCCGUCUGGGCGUGCACACAGCCCUUGCCCUCGGUACCACGUGGUCCCAGCCUCCCACCCAGAUGACUCACAGGAGAGAUGACCACUCCACCGGCCAGGCUCAGCGUCAGCACCGUGAGCAGGACACCUGUCCAAACCCGCUUGCUCUGAGAACCUGCCAUCAAAAGCUGCUGUUAGGUGCACCCUUGGGGGGAGGGUGCGGGGGAGAAGGCGGGACCCUCCCGCCCCCGACUCGGGGCCUGUGUCCCAAGUGCGCACCCUUGCUGCAGCCCCGACAGGCUCCUGUCUGCUGGCCAGGCCCCCUCAGCGGCCCUUGUACCAGGCUUUCUGUGCCGCUUCUGCCCAGAGACCUCAGAGGCUCCCAGCAGCCGCAGGUGCCCCCAUCCCUGCAGUCUGGCCCUGUUCUCCCCUGGCAGACUCCCGGGAGAGAACCAGUCUAGGAGGGGGAGGGGACGGAAGGUUCCAGGGCCCCCUGACGUCAGUGCACGUCCUGCCCUCGGUUUGCCUGCCACACGAACACGGCUCCCACUUCAAGGCUCAACUCAGGGGGUCCCUUCUCUGCAAUGCCUUUCCCGAGUCCUGCAGCAACUAAGCACUGUUUUUCUUCCUUUCGUACGGGAACCAUAUAGUUUGUAUUUGCCUCGAUUUCCGCCACCGUCAUGCAGAAAUUCGUACAUGUCGACAAACGUACCCCUCCUCGUCCGUGAACCAUUACCGGCUACGUAUUGAUAAGCCGUGUGUCACAGGCUGUGCUGAUAGCUUAAACCACCCUAUGAAGUGGGUGUCACUAACACCCAUCUCAAAGACAGGCCCCAGAGACUGAGUAACUUGUCCGGAGUCACACAGCCAGGAAGUGGAGAUGCCCCCACGGCCCCGGAGGUUCCUUCAGUGGGGGUUCGUCAUACUGUUCCCUGCGUCUUUCCUCCGCCCCGUAUGUGGUGAGCACUCGGCCCGGUGUUAAGGGUUGAAAGCCGGGUGGCUGAGUAAGGACGUGGCAAGGAGAAGCUGCGGGGGACGUCAGAGCCCAGGAAGAACCUGGUGAGACAGGACAGCCACA
rnacentral:lncRNA from 1 species